GACGAACGCUGGCGGCGUGCCUGACACAUGCAAGUCGGACGGUUCUUGCACCUUCAAGCUUGCUUGCUGGUGCAAGGAUAGUGGCGGACGGGUGAGUAACGCGUGAACAUCUACCCAUUGGAGGGGGACAACCCGUCGAAAGGCGGGCUAAUACCGCGUAAGCCGCGAGGUGAGAGGCUGCCUAUUGGUGGCCGCCGAUGGAUGGGUUCGCGUCCUAUCAGCUGGUUGGUGGGGUAACGGCCUACCAAGGCGAAGACGGGUAGCCGGUCUGAGAGGAUGGCCGGCCACACUGGAACUGAGACACGGUCCAGACUCCUACGGGAGGCAGCAGUGGGGAAUAUUGGGCAAUGGGGGUAACCCUGACCCAGCGACGCCGCGUGAGGGACGAAGGUUUUCGGAUCGUAAACCUCUGUUGUACGGGAAGAAGGAAUUGACGGUACCGUACGAGUAAGCCCCGGCAAACUACGUG
rnacentral:rRNA from 1 species